UGGGACGUAGGGGGCCAGCGUUGCUCGGAAUUACUGGGCGUAAAGGGUUCGUAGGCGGUGCGGUAAGUCGGAAGUGAAAUCUCUGGGCUUAACUCAGAGGCUGCUUUCGAAACUGCCGUGCUGGAGUGCGGGAGAGGCGAGUGGAAUUGCAGGUGUAGCGGUGAAAUGCGUAGAUAUCUGCAGGAACACCCGUGGCGAAGGCGGCUCGCUGGACCGCAACUGACGCUGAGGAACGAAAGCUAGGGGAGCAAACAGGAUUAGAUACCCUGGUAGUCCUAGCCCUAAACCAUCAG
rnacentral:rRNA from 1 species